rnacentral:rRNA from 1 species
UGCUUCAGGCCUAACACAUGCAAGUCGAGCGCGCCCUUACGGGGUGAGCGGCGGACGGGUUAGUAACGCGUGGGAAUAUACCCUUUGGUACGGAAUAGCCUCUGGAAACGGAGAGUAAUACCGUAUGUGCCCUUCGGGGGAAAGAUUUAUCGCCAAAGGAUUAGCCCGCGUUAGAUUAGGUAGUUGGUGGGGUAAUGGCCUACCAAGCCUACGAUCUAUAGCUGGUUUUAGAGGAUGAUCAGCAACACUGGGACUGAGACACGGCCCAGACUCCUACGGGAGGCAGCAGUGGGGAAUCUUGGACAAUGGGGGCAACCCUGAUCCAGCCAUGCCGCGUGAGUGAUGAAGGCCUUAGGGUCGUAAAGCUCUUUCGCCUGUGAAGAUAAUGACGGUAGCAGGUAAAGAAACCCCGGCUAACUCCGUGCCAGCAGCCGCGGUAAUACGGAGGGGGUUAGCGUUGUUCGGAAUUACUGGGCGUAAAGCGCACGUAGGCGGAUCGGAAAGUUGGGGGUGAAAUCCCGGGGCUCAACCCCGGAACUGCCUCCAAAACUAUCGGUCUAGAGUUCGAGAGAGGUGAGUGGAAUUCCGAGUGUAGAGGUG